AUGAACGAAGCAAGCCAACUGUGCCAUUUUCGCCCUGGGAUCCCAGUGUGCAGUUGCUGCAAAUAGCAGCCUCCUCAGUAGUGUAUACAGCCUGUUGCCUGCAUGAGUUGCCCUAAGGAACUUGAAUAUGGCC
rnacentral:snoRNA from 1 species